rnacentral:rRNA from 1 species
GAUCCUGGCUCAGGAUGAACGCUAGCGGCAGGCUUAACACAUGCAAGUCGAGGGGCAUCGGGUCUAGCAAUAGAUGCCGGCGACCGGCGAAAGGGUGAGUAACGCGUGAGCAACAUACCCUUGACAGGGGGAUAGGCACUGGAAACGGUGUGUAAUACCCCGUAACACAUUCCAUCGCAUGGUGGGGUGUUGAAAGAUUGAUUGGUCAAGGAUUGGCUCGCGUACCAUUAGGUAGUUGGCGGGGUAACGGCCCACCAAGCCGACGAUGGUUAGGGGUUCUGAGAGGAAGGUCCCCCACAUUGGAACUGAGACACGGUCCAGACUCCUACGGGAGGCAGCAGUGAGGAAUAUUGGACAAUGGCCGGGAGGCUGAUCCAGCCAUGCCGCGUGAGGGAGGACGGCCCUAUGGGUUGUAAACCUCUUUUGUCGGGGAGCAAUAAGUAUUACGAGUAAUACGAUGAGAGUACCUGGCGAAUAAGCAUCGGCUAACUCCGUGCC